GAGUUAUGAGUAUAUAUCAUGCUAGCUGUCGAGACGCGGCACAGCGAUACGAACGGGGUGCCACACUGACGGCUGUUCUCGUUCCAGUACUGAAGGUACCGUACUAGCUACGCGAACACCGAGUCUCUUCCUGCUCUAGUGGUGUUGAGAGCGAUCGACAAGUGGCGUGUAUCUCAUGCCUAGUGAACCUUUUCGGAGUUCCUUUUCACUGCACAAGUCGAUGCCUUAGUACGAGGAACUUCAGAAGUGGCCUUUUUCUGGGUGACUACAGUACAAACCGCGUGUUGAUUGAGAAUCCGUCACCCGAGUAGCCCGUAAAGGAUGCCUAGAACAGGUCCAGCAACUGCCGGUUGAAGAUGUACUGAGGAGUUAAAGUCCGACGUCUAACCUGAUACCGAAGAAUCGCAGUCAGAAACUCCACCCAAACGUGACAAGGUCACUGAGAGGACUGGUCUCCUACUGUUACGUGCUGCACCAGCACUGCGACUUCUUCUAGUUUCGGCUCAUGUGUUUUGACCAUCGUCGAUACAGUUGAUCACGUUGUGUCACUUGGCUAGAGUACACGAACGAAUUAAUACAGAACACAUGUAUAUAAAAUGUAGACGUACAUCUUGAUCGCGUGCAUUGAAGUCCAUACCCGUCCUGACUUUAUUCAACAUGACUCCACGUGAUAUGUAAUUUGUGACAAAACAAGAGAGGCUGACACGCUCAUUGUAAGAGCAAGGGAAAGUCAGUACUUGUUUUGACUUGUUCUGGCUUCUCUUAUGCUCAAGUGUAAACCGUACGUGAGACUUAUACACACUCUCGUCGUAACGCCGAGGGAACGAUAACGAGACUGUCAAUGUGUGAAAGACUUUAGACUUGUACUGCUUUCUCUCCGUGUUGGCGUAUUCCGAAGAGACAAAGAUCGACGUCUACGAACAUUCAUCAGUCGUU
rnacentral:rRNA from 1 species